GACGAACGCUGGCGGCGUGCUUAACACAUGCAAGUCGAACGGAAAGGCCCUGCUUUUGUGGGUUGCUCGAGUGGCGAACGGGUGAGUAACACGUUAGUAACCUGCCCUUUACUUUGGGAUAACUUCAGGAAACUGGGGCUAAUACCUGAUAGGAGCUCCUGCUGCAUGGUGGGGGUUGGAAAGUUUCGGCGGUUGGGGAUGGACUCGCGGCUUAUCAGCUUGUUGGUGGGGUAGUGGCUUACCAAGGCUUUGACGGGUAGCCGGACUGAGAGGGUGACCGGCCACAUUGGGACUGAGAUACGGCCCAGACUCCUACGGGAGGCAGAAGUGGGGAAUAUUGCACAAUGGGCGGAAGCCUGAUGCAGAAACGCCGCGUGCGGGAUGACGGCCUUCGGGUUGUAAACCGCUUUCGCCUGUGACGAAGCGGGAGUGACGGUAAUGGGUAAAGAAGCACCGGCUAACUACGUG
rnacentral:rRNA from 1 species